rnacentral:lncRNA from 1 species
CUUGAAACCUGACUAUGUCUCCCCAGGAGAGGAAUGCACAUUGUUCCCAAGAAUUACUUGAAGUGAGGUAACAAACUGAUUUGGAGAAGAAGACAUAACUGACAGCAUUUCUACAAACAUUUUUUUUUAACUGGGAUACGGUGCUCAUAAGACAGCGGACAACAGAACCUACCUAAACUCCCUGCCCUCUAGAGAAGAAAGUCAUAGCUAUGUCAUGUUCACAUAAAGAAGAGUGGGAUGGCUGGAUCACAUGCCAGUGCUGUUUUCGGAUGAGGAAGAUCACGUCAUCGCAUUUUGCAUACUGCUUUACUGAGUUCCAUCGACCAACAAUAUAUAAGACUUCCUCUUCUCCUAGCUCCUUUGCAGCCUUUGCUUGUCCUCUUUUUGGAUAGUAAUCAUUCUAAAUGAGAUAAGGGGGGUGGAAUUCAUUGUAGUUUUGAUUAACAUUUGUCUGAUGGGUAAGGAUAAUGGGCACAUGCCUGGUGCCCACUGGUACCAUACCUUACAUCUUUAAGUUGUUUUGCACAGGGUGAUAUGCAGGGGUUAAGUUUCACUUUUUAAA